CGGUCCGCCAUAGUUGAGCACGCCGGCGUCGCGGGCCUGCCUGCGGGAGUACUCCAGGGGGCUUCGCCGGACCAUGGGGAUCGCUUCCGUCGUGUUUCCAAGCUUCGAGAGUGUGUGGUGGCGAGGUAAUUCCUCGUCGGUGUAUACACGGCGUCGCCAGUCCGCCAUGUGAUGUCGCCAAAGCCCUGCACUGCAUGAUUUCUGGUGAGAUUGUCUUCCUUGGGAUCGCAUUCUUCUCAUCCACGUGUAGAGCCGUUCGAAUCACACCUUGGGACACCUGGGCCUUGGACUGCUACACACCAGUGAUGGCGCCACCGCGAUGCCUACUGCGCGCCACUAGGGUUAGACUGGUAGGAGGUGAGGAGAGAGUGUCGGGGGUUCAAGAUGCGCUCUGCGCCGUUUGAUCAUAACGGACGGUUGUGAUUAGCUCGCGUAGAAUUGAGUCCGGACCGUAGGAUCUUGAUCCGAUGGCCAGAUGUGCGUACCGGCUCUCAGGGCUCAGACCUAAUCUGAGCGCUUGAACUAAGAUCGGACGGCCAUGAUCGUCCAAUACCCCUUCGGCUAGCGGUCUUUCAUAUGAGCCCCUGUCUUUCUGGGUAUUCAACCCGGCAUCCCCCGCGGGGAAUAUC
rnacentral:lncRNA from 7 species